rnacentral:rRNA from 1 species
GUUUGAUCCUGGCUCAGAACGAACGCUGGCGGCGUGCUUAACACAUGCAAGUCGAACGUGAUCCAGAGCUUGCUCUGGUGAAAGUGGCGCACGGGUGAGUAUCGCGUGGAUAACCUACCCUGGUGUCUGGGAUAACAUCUCGAAAGGGGUGCUAAUACCGGAUAAGCCCACGGGAUCUUCGGAUUCUGCGGGAAAAGGUGGCCUCUAUUUAUAAGCUACCGUAUCAGGAUGGGUCCGCGUACCAUUAGCUAGUUGGUGGGGUAAUGGCCUACCAAGGCUACGAUGGUUAGCUGGUCUGAGAGGAUGAUCAGCCACACUGGAACUGAGACACGGUCCAGACUCCUGCGGGAGGCAGCAGUGGGGAAUUUUGCGCAAUGGGGGAAACCCUGACGCAGCAACGCCGCGUGAGUGAUGAAGGCUUUCGGGUCGUAAAGCUCUGUCAGAGGGGAAGAAAUGGAAACGGUUAAUACCCGGUUUCUCUUANNGGGGUACCCUCAAAGGAAGCACCGGCUAAC